UCAUUUCGCUAAAGAACCAGGUCCCUCUC
rnacentral:piRNA from 1 species